AACCUAUUAGCUCAAAUGGUAGAGCACCAUGCAGAUGGAUAGGGUAUGUAGGUUCGAUUCCUACAUAGGUUG
rfam:Spinacia oleracea cultivar SynViroflay scaffold34083.con0002.1, whole genome shotgun sequence.